rnacentral:rRNA from 1 species
UACGGAGGGUGCAAGCGUUGCUCGGAAUCACUGGGCGUAAAGCGCCCGCAGGCGGCCUGGCAAGUCGGAUGUGAAAGCCCUGGGCUCAACUCAGGAAUUGCAUUCGAAACUGGCAGGCUUGAGUACGGGAGAGGGGGGUGGAAUUCCUGGUGUAGGGGUGAAAUGCGUUGAUAUCAGGAGGAACACCGGCGGCGAAGGCGGCCCCCUGGGCCGCAACUGACGCUCAUGGUCGAAAGCGUGGGGAGCAAACAGG